rnacentral:rRNA from 1 species
CGCCCCGCAGGGGAGUGGCAGACGGGUGAGUAACGCGUGGGAACGUACCCUUUCCUGCGGAAUAGCUCCGGGAAACUGGAAUUAAUACCGUAUACGCCCUACGGGGGAAAGAUUUAUCGGUGAAGGAUCGGCCCGCGUUGGAUUAGCUAGUUGGUGGGGUAAAGGCCUACCAAGGCGACGAUCCAUAGCUGGUCUGAGAGGAUGAUCAGCCACAUUGGGACUGAGACACGGCCCAAACUCCUACGGGAGGCAGCAGUGGGGAAUAUUGGACAAUGGGCGCAAGCCUGAUCCAGCCAUGCCGCGUGAAUGAUGAAGGCCUUAGGGUUGUAAAGCUCUUUCACCGGAGAAGAUAAUGACGGUAUCCGGAGAAGAAGCCCCGGCUAACUUCGUGCCAGCAGCCGCGGUAAGUUCUAGGGGGCUAGCGUUGUUCGGAAUUACUGG